GAUGAACGCUGGCGGCGUGCCUAAUACAUGCAAGUCGAGCGAACAGACGAGGCGCUUGCUCCUCUGACGUUAGCGGCGGACGGGUGAGUAACACGUGGAUAACCUACCUAUAAGACUGGGAUAACUUCGGGAAACCGGAGCUAAUACCGGAUAACAUGUUGAACCGCAUGGUUCAACAGUGAAAGACGGUCUUGCUGUCACUUAUAGAUGGAUCCGCGCCGCAUUAGCUAGUUGGUAAGGUAACGGCUUACCAAGGCAACGAUGCGUAGCCGACCUGAGAGGGUGAUCGGCCACACUGGAACUGAGACACGGUCCAGACUCCUACGGGAGGCAGCAGUAGGGAAUCUUCCGCAAUGGGCGAAAUCCUGACGGAGCAACGCCGCGUGAGUGAAGAAGGUCUUCGGAUCGUAAAACUCUGUUAUUAGGGAAGAACAAAUGUGUAAGUAACUAUGCACGUCUUGACGGUACCUAAUCAGAAAGCAACGGCUAACUACGUG
rnacentral:rRNA from 1 species